GGGGAUGUAGCUCAGUGGUAGAGCGUUCGCUUCGCAUGUGAAAGUGUCUUUUCUUUGUUCAGCCUCAAAGCACGUCAGAGCAUUUAUU